UGUGGUCGCACAUAAAUCGGGUAUGAUAAUCCAAACAUUUCAUCAUCUAAAUACCUGAGAGGGAGCCUGAGAAAUGGCUACCACAUCCAAGGACGGCAGCAGGCGCGAAAAUUACUCACUCCCGGCACGGGGAGGUAGUGACGAAAAAUACAAAUACGGGACUCAGUUGAGGCUCCGUAAUUCGAAUGAGUGCAAUCUAAAUCCUUUAACGAGGACCAAUUGGAGGGAAAGUCUGGUGCCAGCAGCCGCGGUAACUCCAGCUUCAAAA
rnacentral:ncRNA from 1 species